ACGCUUCCGCUAAAGGCAGAGCCGCGGAUGUUGGUCUCUCCUCAUAACAGAAACAUCUCUCGCAGCGGAAUUCUUGUCAGACGCAAAUUUUUCAUAUGCUGCUUUGUAUUUCAAUUUAUCACGACAAUAUUUUAAUAUAAAAAUAAUAAAUAAAAAAAUGUGGGUGAUAUAAAAAAGUAACGUUUUAAAUCAUAAAGGAAGCACAUGUCGUAAAAGGUGCUUUUAGCGGAAGUUGCAUACGUUCUGAUUUCCGACAGUGAGGAGCAGCGUGUGAGAGAGCAGAGUUCCCGCCGAAAGAUGAACAGAUGGUGAUGGAGCGUCUCUGGGAUCAGCAGCUGUAAUCAAUGCUCUUACUCUUCUACAGUGUUGGGAAUUUACACAAUAAAUGUAACUGUAAUCAGUCAAAUAAAGCUUCUGACAUGUUUCAAA